GAUGAAGAACGUAGCGAAAUGCGAUACUUGGUGUGAAUUGCAGAAUCCCGUGAACCAUCGAGUCUUUGAACGCAAGUUGCGCCCGAAGCCAUUAGGCCGAGGGCACGCCUGCCUGGGCGUCACACGUCGUUGCCCCCCCAUCUACUCCUUCGGGAUUGCGGGGGGCGGAUGAUGGCCUCCCGUGCGCCUCGUCGCGCGGUUGGCAUAAAUGCCAAGUCCUCGGCGACGCACGCCACGACAAUCGGUGGUUGCGAAACCUCGGUUGCCCGUCGUGUGCGGUCGUCGCGCAUCGAGGGCUCGAAAAAAUUGCCGGGUUCCGGCUCGGCUUUCAACGCGACCCCAGGUCAGGCGGGGUUACCCGCUGAAUUUAAGCAUAUCAAUAAGCGGAGGA
rnacentral:misc_RNA from 1 species